CCUACGGGAGGCAGCAGUGGGGAAUAUUGCACAAUGGGGGAAACCCUGAUGCAGCGACGCCGCGUGAGUGAAGAAGUAUUUCGGUAUGUAAAGCUCUAUCAGCAGGGAAGAAGAAAGACGGUACCUGACUAAGAAGCUCCGGCUAACUACGUGUCAGCAGCCGCGGCAAUACGUAGGGGGCAAGCGUUAUCCGGAUUUACUGGGUGUAAAGGGAGCGUAGGCGGCUGUACAAGUCUGAAGUGAAAGCCCAGGGCUCAACCCUAGAACUGCUUUAGAAACUGUGGAGCUAGAGUGCUGGAGAGGUGAGUGGAAUUCCAAGUGUAGCGGUGGAAUGCGUAGAUAUUAGGAGGAACACCAGUGGCGAAGGCGGCUUACUGGACAGUAACUGACGUUGAGGCUCGAAAGCAUGGGGAGCAAACAGGAUUAGAUACCCUAGUAGUC
rnacentral:rRNA from 1 species